rnacentral:rRNA from 1 species
UACGAAGGGGGCUAGCGUUGCCUCGGAAUCACUGGGCGUAAAGGGUGCGUAGGCGGGUCUUUUAAGUCAGGGGUGAAAUCCUGGAGCUCAACUCCAGAACUGCCUUUGAUACUGAAGAUCUUGAGUCCGGGAGAGGUGAGUGGAACUGGCGAGUGUAGAGGUGAAAUUCGUAGAGUAUUCGCAAGAACACCAGUGGCGAAGGCGGCUCACUGGCCCGGUACUGACGCUGAGGCACGAAAGCGUGGGGA